GCCAUCCACAGCGUUUGGAGAAUUCCUUUCUGUCAGCACAUGCCAGCGGACACGAGGUAGCCAUGGUAUGGAGGACAGUCUGACUAACCCUAUGUGACCCUUCCAACCUGGAUGGACCUUCAUUCAUAUGAUUGUUUGCUCAUCUAUCAAGUUCCACAUCCUUGUACCUUGUAUAAAGACACCUUGGAGGGUGAGAGGCCCUGAUCAAUGCCUUGGUCACUGCACAAGUACAGAGGAAGGAUCAGUCACAGACAGGAACCACUCUUCUUCUUUAUGAAAAAAGAAACACAUCUGGCUUCAAAACUGGGCAACACUACCAAAAAACCAAACCACCCAACCAGGAAAGGAGAAGUGGAAAUUUGCGGCACUCUAGGGGCUAAGGCUGAAUACUACCUGAGCUGAUGCACUCAUCAUUUUUUGUACAACAGUUUCCCACUUCAGGUUUGCUCAACUUUCUUGAUUUUGGUACUAAAUACCAAAUUUGAUGCACUGGCCCUUCAAAGAUCUCUGAAGUGGGGCUAUUUGUUUCAGUAGGACCAGAAAUUUAUUUAGAUUUCUUUCCCCUUAGGAGGUAUCGACUCUAUUUUUUUAUUGAUUUCCAUUGAUUUUUUUCUUUUUACCAGAAUGAUUUUUGUGAUGCUUUUCCUCAAAUAUCCCAGAUUGUAAGCCAUCCCACUUAUGUCCUAUAUAGUCCUAAUAAGUAUAUAGCAGACUUAAAAAGCUUACACGAGUGUCAUUAUUUCAGUGCAACCUACUCAUUCUUCGGAAUUAGAAAAUGAGAAGAAUCUCCAGCAUGAAACAUUUACUCAUCAAGAGAUUUCCAAUUCUUUGUUCUAUUUUCAAGAGGAUUGCCAAAUGGAGAAGUUAAUAGUAUAGAUUUACACCUGAACUGAAUACUGGAUGUCCCCAAAGGGCAAACAUUAAAGCAUUAAACCUGCUCAAGGGGAAAUGGCCAUAAACUGAAGCUUAGGAUGUUCCACAGCAUAUGUGAAAGAACUUCUUCACGGUGAGGGUGACGGAGCACUGGACCAGGCUGCCCAGGGAGGUGGUGGAUUCUCCUUCUCUGCAGAUGUUCAAGGCCCGCCUGGAUGCCUACCUGUGCAGCCUGCUGUAGGGAGCCUGCUUUGCAGAGGGGUUGGACUCAAUGAUCUCUAGAGGUCCCUUCCAAUUCUGUGAUUUCACUUUUGCUUCCUAAUUUCCUAAUUCACAGACUGAUAAUUUGAACUAUGAACUUCUCAACAUAAACGCAUACAUUGAAGGAGACAGCAUGGGGAAAGUGAGGGUUUUUCCCUUGGAUGUAUGUAUUUUCACAACCUACUUUAGCUGAAUGGUCGUG
ensembl:lncRNA